UGGUCCCAAUAUGAAUCACGCCAUUUACAACUACAUUACUCAAGAUACGAAGAUUUUUUUCUAGAAGACACUUACUGCAUCAGUUUUGGACCUGUCAUAGCGUCCUCUAGCUGGAUUGGCAGCUGCCAAGAUUGACGUCCUAGCUGGAAGGCAACAUACCAUCCCUGAUUUAGCUACACUGACACUUUGUUGUUCCAUCGCUUCAAGUAAUGCCUAUUUGAAAGAAUAGAAACGGAUACGUUAUUUGAGUGAGACACUUGUGCCUUUAUCAGCCAGAACAAGUGCUCCAGGUUCAAGAACGACGUCACCGGUACUGGCAUCUUUCACAAGAGUAACAGUUAG